AUGUAUCUGGUUAAUUUGGGGAAGUUUGUGUUAGAUAUAGAAACGUCCUAUGUUUUAAAGAGCCCUUGAACCCCUCAGUUUAUUUUUAUGGUUUGGAUUUGUUCAGGCAGGUGUCAAUCAUUGUAUUGGUCAUUGGGGAUUAACCUGUCGGAUGGUCAGGGGGGCGGGAAAAAAAAAAAGAAGCUGCGAGAAGAAACUGAAGAGACUAUGUUAUAUGGAAGAAAACUUAAAGUUAACUUGAAGAACAGUUUUACUAUUAACCGUUUGCAACCGGGCGUUUGCGUGAGGGUUUGUUUAUUUUGCUUAAGAGUGUAAACGAGCGUGCUUUAGAACUGUGGCUUUUUGCUAAGGGGCUAACGCAAGCUGACCACGAGUACGGGACUGUUUUGCUAGCGGUUAGCAUAACCAACUGCGUGUACGGGAGAGGCCAGGAUAAGGACGGACUUUGCCACGUGCUGCAGCAGAGGAGUUGGUGUUGGACCGAGCAUCUAGACGGGUUCCUCAUCGUGUUGCUGCCUCUUGGAAGAGGUUGCCUUUUCAAGGAGUUUACCGUGUCUCAUUUUUUUGCCUGAUUCGGGUGUGCCCUGGCAUCCGCCAUAAUGAUGGAGGAGGAGGAGGAGGGGUGGUGCUUUGAAGACCCUGAACUUCACACUACCCCUGGCUCUUUUCAGGGGGAGGUGACUAUUGCUUGGCUUGUCAGCCCCCGAUCCUGCCAAGCUCUCGACAGACCAAAGGUAUGGACGGUUCACAAACAGAAUUUUUAAAUCUGGCCUACAUCAAAGCCCUGAAUAGGAAAUCACAAUCAACUGGAGAGAAUGUCAAUGAACUGCAUAAUCCGCGGCCAUUGGAGAAGACAACAUGAGGAAAGUUCGGGAAAAAUAAGGGAAAUAAUUCAAAACACGUUUGGCCACUUCAACUCUGCUGUGAAUAAAGUAAAAAUGUAUAUAUGACAUAUCAAAAUAAAAUGCUUACUUGGCUUUAAUGUGUAUUCUAACUGUGGACUGGAAAUGUUGCUUUACUCUGAGGAAGUGACGGUGAUAAGUGCGUGUUUGUUUUUUCCUGGAGAGCUGAAAUCUAAAGGGAACAUAAAUCACUUUCAACAAAUAAAAGGAAGUUUACAUGGUUAUAAAUGAGCAACGCUGUUUUGCUACACAACCUCCAUCUCUUAAGUCAUUUAUUCAGAUUGAGAGCCUGCCCGGCCAGUAACAAAAAGCCUAAAUGCAAUUGUCAUGAGUGACCUGGUGUUGUUCUCAUUGUUCAGUAAGGAUUUAUGUUCAAAUGUAUAAGUAAAUGUGCUUUCUGCUCCA